rnacentral:rRNA from 1 species
UACGUAGGGUGCGAGCGUUGUCCGGAUUUAUUGGGCGUAAAGAGCUCGUAGGCGGCUUGUCGCGUCGGAUGUGAAAGCCCGGGGCUUAACUCCGGGUCUGCAUUCGAUACGGGCAGGCUAGAGUGUGGUAGGGGAGAUCGGAAUUCCUGGUGUAGCGGUGAAAUGCGCAGAUAUCAGGAGGAACACCCGUGGCGAAGGCGGCUCUCUGGAACGCAACUGACGCUGAGACGCGAAAGCGUGGGGAGCAAACAGG